GCACCACUUGGCGGAUCGGUCCAACGC
rnacentral:sRNA from 1 species